CCCUUUGCGCAGUGGCAAUAUCGUAACCAAUGGGGUUUAUUCGAGGUGCGAUUAUUGCUAGUUGAAAACUUUAGCCCUACAGGGUUACCUAUAUUUUAAAUUUGAGCUAAAUAUCUCAAAAAGUUAGGAGCUAUAGAGAAAAAACU